rnacentral:rRNA from 1 species
GAUCAUGGCUCAGAUUGAACGCUGGCGGCAGGCCUAACACAUGCAAGUCGAGCGGUAGAGAGAAGCUUGCUUCUCUUGAGAGCGGCGGACGGGUGAGUAAUGCCUAGGAAUCUGCCUGGUAGUGGGGGAUAACGUUCGGAAACGGACGCUAAUACCGCAUACGUCCUACGGGAGAAAGCAGGGGACCUUCGGGCCUUGCGCUAUCAGAUGAGCCUAGGUCGGAUUAGCUAGUUGGUGAGGUAAUGGCUCACCAAGGCGACGAUCCGUAACUGGUCUGAGAGGAUGAUCAGUCACACUGGAACUGAGACACGGUCCAGACUCCUACGGGAGGCAGCAGUGGGGAAUAUUGGACAAUGGGCGAAAGCCUGAUCCAGCCAUGCCGCGUGUGUGAAGAAGGUCUUCGGAUUGUAAAGCACUUUAAGUUGGGAGGAAGGGCAGU